AGAGUUUGAUCCUGGCUCAGGAUGAACGCUAGCUACAGGCUUAACACAUGCAAGUCGAGGGGCAGCAUGAUUGAAGCUUGCUUCAAUUGAUGGCGACCGGCGCACGGGUGAGUAACACGUAUCCAACCUACCGUUUACACAUGGAUAGCCUUUCGAAAGAAAGAUUAAUACAUGAUGGUUUAUGUGAACUGCAUGGUUUAUAUAAUAAAGAUUAAUCGGUAAACGCUGGGGAUGCGUUCCAUUAGAUAGUAGGCGGGGUAACGGCCCACCUAGUCGACGAUGGAUAGGGGUUCUGAGAGGAAGGUCCCCCACAUUGGAACUGAGACACGGUCCAAACUCCUACGGGAGGCAGCAGUGAGGAAUAUUGGUCAAUGGACGAGAGUCUGAACCAGCCAAGUAGCGUGAAGGAAUACUGCCCUAUGGGUUUUAAACUUCUUUUAUAAGGGAAUAAAGUCGCUCACGUGUGAGUGUUUGUAUGUACCUUAUGAAUAAGCAUCGGCUAACUCCGUGCCAGCAGCCGCGGUAAUACGGAGGAUGCGAGCGUUAUCCGGAUUUAUUGGGUUUAAAGGGUGCGUAGGCCGUGUUUUAAGUCAGCGGUGAAAAGUUGCAGCUCAACUGUAACCGUGCCGUUGAUACUGAGACACUUGAGUGCAGACAAGGCAGGCGGAACUCGUAGUGUAGCGGUGAAAUGCUUAGAUAUUACGAAGAACUCCGAUUGCGAAGGCAGCUUGCCGGACUGCAACUGACGCUGAAGCACGAAAGUGUGGUUAUCAAACAGGAUUAGAUACCCUGGUAGUCCACACCGUAAACGAUGAAUACUCGCUGUUGGCGAUAUAAUGUCAGCGGCCACGCGAAAGCAUUAAGUAUUCCACCUGGGGAGUACGCCGGCAACGGUGAAACUCAAAGGAAUUGACGGGGGCCCGCACAAGCGGAGGAACAUGUGGUUUAAUUCGAUGAUACGCGAGGAACCUUACCCGGGCUUGAAUUGCAUCUGACGUACCUUGAAAGAGGUAUUUCUUCGGACAGAUGUGAAGGUGCUGCAUGGUUGUCGUCAGCUCGUGCCGUGAGGUGUCGGCUUAAGUGCCAUAACGAGCGCAACCCUUGUCAUCAGUUACUAGCAGGUCAAGCUGAGGACUCUGAUGAGACUGCCAUCGCAAGAUGUGAGGAAGGGAGGGAUGACGUCAAAUCAGCACGGCCCUUACGUCCGGGGCUACACACGUGUUACAAUGGGAGGUACAAUAGGCCGCUACCCGGCGACGGGAUGUCAAUCCCCAAAUCCUCUCUCAGUUCGGACUGGAGUCUGCAACCCGACUCCACGAAGCUGGAUUCGCUAGUAAUCGCGCAUCAGCCACGGCGCGGUGAAUACGUUCCCGGGCCUUGUACACACCGCCCGUCAAGCCAUGGGAGUCGUUGGUACCUGAAGUGCGUGACCGCAAGGAUCGCCCUAAGGUAAAUUCGAUGACUGGGGCUAAGUCGUAACAAGGUAACC
rnacentral:rRNA from 1 species